rnacentral:tRNA from 1 species
GGCAGAGUAGCUCAGUUGGUUAGAGCGGCGGCUUCAUAAGUCGCAAGUCGCUGGUUCAAGUCCAGCCUCUGCUACCA